AGUGAACGCUGGCGGCGUGCCUAACACAUGCAAGUCGAACGAAGUGGCGCACGGGGGGGUAAUAUAUAGGUAAUCUUCCCUGCACAGAGGAACUACAUUUGGGAACCACUGGUAAUACCUCAUAGUGUAGGAUGAGACUGUAUCGGAUCAGCUAGUUGGUAAGGUAAAGGCUUACCCAGGCGAUGACGCGUAACUGGUCAGAGAGGAUUAGCAGCAGAAUUCGAAGUGAGACACGGGUCAAAAUCCGUGCGGAGGCAGCAGUAAGGUGUAGUGGGCAAUGGGCGUGUACCAGAAGGAGCAACGCCGUGUGGAGGAUUACAAUCUUCGGAGCGUAAACUCAUGUUAUCAGGAAAGCGGUACCUGAUGAAUAAGCACCGGCUAACUCCGUGCCAGCAGCCGCGGUAAUUC
rnacentral:rRNA from 1 species